AUGCAACUUGAUUCCACUCAAUGUGUAUUAUGUGAUGCUGAAGAUAUUGAAGACAGAAUGCCUCUACUAUUUUCGUGUCCUUUCAGCCAGGGAUUUUGGUGGAACAUUGGUCUUGAAUGGAACAUAGAUCUGAAUAUUCAUGAUAUGAUUAUUGAAGCUCAACACAGAUAUCGCCAUCAUCACUUCAUGGAAAUUAUGACAGUAGGAUGCUGGAGUAUAUGGAAUCAAAGAAAUGGACUGAUAUUUGAAGGAAUCCCGUGCUCUAUCAAUGAAUGCAGAUAUGAAUUUAUCAAUACCUUCAAAUUAACAAUGCUAAGAGCCAAACCCAGUCUAAAGGAGGGCAUGUCAUCUUGGAUUGAUAACAUAUAA
rnacentral:rRNA from 1 species